UUCUUUUGUAAUAUUUCCCUCCUUAUUUUGAUCCAGGAUCCAGUAUAAAAUAGCACUCUUAAUUUUGGGGAUCUGUCUUUGCCUUCUGCUGCUUAUUUGCUGCUUAAUUGGCCCUAGAAACACGUGCUUUCCUGGCCCUGUUCCUCCAAGGGCUCCACCCUGAAGCCAGCAAUCCAAUUAAGAAACUGAAAGAAGAAAGAGCUUUAACAGACAUUUGAUAAUGAAUUGUUACUUCUUACUCAUGUUUAUAUAUAAACCCUUGACUGUCAAUGCUAUAAAAGACAAUUCAAAAGGAAGAAAUGCAAUUAUAUUGAAACACCAUUCACAAACAUCACAACAAGAAAUGCAGUCUACUUUAACUGUGGAGGUCUGAAUGCAGACCAUCUGUACCUGAAUACAGCUGCAGACCUGCAUUUUGUUCAAGAAAAACACCUCUCUGCUUGUGGAACAAGACACAAGAUAACACACAGAAAGGAAGAGUAAUUGAGAAGGGAGGAAACAUAUCAGGUGAGAAAGAACUUACUUUGUACGAAAUAUACUGGUAGUAGUCAACGUGAGAAGGAAAAGAAAAGUAUUGUGUGAUGAGCAAUACUCAAGCCAUGCCUUUAGUACUUAAUUGGGUAAAUUUGACCUCUGAUUUGACCUCUGGUUUCCAAACUCCUGAAAGGAGGAUAUUAAAUGUAAUGAUUAUUUAAUGCCUUUUCAGCUUUAAAAUGCUACAUUUAUGCUAUAAGCCUGAAUAAACAAUACAGCCGUAGGGAGAAGGUAACCAAGAACAUGGCAGAGCCCCAGUGUUGGGGAGAUGAAGGCCUGCUGAAAAAGUGACUGCAUAACCUGGCUAAACUCCAGCUAAAUGAAAUAGAGUUCAAGGUAGACAGUGGGACUUGGAAAUAAGAUACAGGAAUACUUGUUUUAAAAAUAUGUUUCUUAAACUGCUUCCAGUGUAGCUUCAUGAUGAAGCUGGCAUCAAGUGCCAGAACAUUAAUCCAUACCACUUCAAAUACCUUCUUGUCUUAUCU
rnacentral:lncRNA from 1 species